UUUGCUGAGGAUACGGUUAACGGAGCGAAAGCGACGUUCAACCGCAAAACAAGCAGAGGGGGCUUAGUGGUGGGGUGACUGCGUACCUUUUGUAUAAUGGGUCAGCGACUUAUAUUCUGUAGCAAGGUUAACCGAAUAGGGGAGCCGGAGGGAAACCGAGUCUUAAUUGGGCGUUAAGUUGCAGGGUAUAGACCCGAAACCCGGUGAUCUAGCCAUGGGCAGGUUGAAGGUUGGGUAACACUAACUGGAGGACCGAACCGACUAAUGUUGAAAAAUUAGCGGAUGACCUGUGGCUGGGGGUGAAAGGCCAAUCAAACCGGGAGAUAGCUGGUUCUCCCCGAAAGCUAUUUAGGUAGCGCCUCGUGAAUUCAUCUCCGGGGGUAGAGCACUGUUUCGGCUAGGGGGCCAUCCCGGCUUACCAACCCGAUGCAAACUGCGAAUACCGGAGAAUGUUAUCACGGGAGACACACGGCGGGUGCUAACGUCCGUCGUGAAGAGGGAAACAACCCAGACCGCCAGCUAAGGUCCCAAAGUCAUGGUUAAGUGGGAAACGAUGUGGGAAGGCCCAGACAGCCAGGAUGUUGGCUUAGAAGCAGCCAUCAUUUAAAGAAAGCGUAAUAGCUCACUGGUCGAGUCGGCCUGCGCGGAAGAUGUAACGGGGCUAAACCAUGCACCGAAGCUGCGGCAGCGAACGUAUCACCCAAGACAACUUUACGGAGUUGACGAUUGACGGAGCGAAGCGACGUCAAAGCGUUCAUUAAAGUCGAGUUGGCUUAGGGAUACGUUCGUUGGGUAGGGGAGCGUUCUGUAAGCCUGUGAAGGUGUGUCGUGAGGCAUGCUGGAGGUAUCAGAAGUGCGAAUGCUGACAUAAGUAACGAUAAAGCGGGUGAAAAGCCCGCUCGCCGGAAGACCAAGGGUUCCUGUCCAACGUUAAUCGGGGCAGGGUGAGUCGACCCCUAAGGCGAGGCCGAAAGGCGUAGUCGAUGGGAAACGGGUUAAUAUUCCCGUACUUGGUGUUACUGCGAAGGGGGGACGGAGAAGGCUAUGUUGGCCGGGCGACGGUUGUCCCGGUUUAAGCGUGUAGGUGUGUGUUCCAGGUAAAUCCGGUUCACUUUAACACUGAGGCGUGACGACGAGGCACUACGGUGCUGAAGCAACAAAUGCCCUGCUUCCAGGAAAAGCCUCUAAGCAUCAGGUAACACGAAAUCGUACCCCAAACCGACACAGGUGGUCAGGUAGAGAAUACCAAGGCGCUUGAGAGAACUCGGGUGAAGGAACUAGGCAAAAUGGUGCCGUAACUUCGGGAGAAGGCACGCUGACACGUAGGUGAAGUGAUUUACUCAUGGAGCUGAAGUCAGUCGAAGAUACCAGCUGGCUGCAACUGUUUAUUAAAAACACAGCACUGUGCAAACACGAAAGUGGACGUAUACGGUGUGACGCCUGCCCGGUGCCGGAAGGUUAAUUGAUGGGGUCAGCG
rnacentral:rRNA from 1 species